CACAACACAUCUCACAGUUGUUUAAAAGUUAUGGACUUUUCAGAAGAGUAGCAAUUAAUCUGAGAUUGAGACUAGAAAACGCAAUGGAUUUUUGGGUGCAGAUCUUCAGUUUCAUGCUCAUCAGUGUCACAGGGUCCAGAGGAGAAGUUGUUCUUACCCAGUCUCCAGCAUCCAGGGCUGCAUCUCAUGGGGAGAAGGUCACUAUCAGCUGUAGUGCAAGCUCAAGUGUAAGCACCAGCUAUUUCAACUGGUACCAACAGAAGCCUGGAAGUUCCCCUAAACUUCUGAUUUACCAAACAUCCAACCUGGCUUCUGGAGUCCCAACUCACUUCAGUGGCAGUGGGUCCGGGACUUCUUAUUCUCUCACAAUCAGCAGUGUCCAGGCUGAAGAUGCUGCCACUUACUUCUGUCAGCAGACAUAUAAUUACCCAUGACCACAGUGCAAUAGACUGGAACAA